rnacentral:tRNA from 1 species
UCCUUGGUGUUCCAGUGGCUAAGACUCUGAGCUCCCAACACAGGGGACCCAGGUUUGAUUCCUGGUCAGGGAA